rnacentral:rRNA from 1 species
CGCGUAGGCUGUUGAGUAAGUCAAAUGUGAAAUCCCCGGGCUUAACCUGGGAACUGCAUUCGAUACUGCUUAACUAGAGUAUGGUAGAGGGAAGUGGAAUUCCGGGUGUAGCGGUGAAAUGCGUAGAUAUCCGGAGGAACACCAGUGGCGAAGGCGACUUCCUGGGCCAAUACUGACGCUGAGGUGCGAGAGCGUGGGGAGCAAACA